CCAUUAUUCCAACCAUCCAUUUUAUUUUAUCUGGAUCUCUAUCUGGUUGAACCUGCAACAAUUCAUAGACGAAUCAUAUGGAGAAACUACUGAGUUGCCAUGAUGGAUGCAAACACGACAAUACCCUGGCAUAAAUUUGGAAGGUUAGUCCAUACUAUUUUGCUUUCUUCUAUAUUUGUUCUAACAUGACUUGACUUUCUUUUAUGCUGGUGAACUUGUUCAUUGAUUGUAUGACAACAUUAAAGAGUUUUUUGCUUUAACCUUGAAAAAUAUUAGGUGCUAUUUCUCCAUUGGGACCCUCUAUUUUCUUAGACAAUCAUUCACAUUCUUCAUUCAACAGAGACUCUUUCUACUAAUUCAAUAGCUAAAUUUUGUUAAUAGAGAUUGACUUGCCACUGGUUGCAUCCGAUUCUUGCCAAUAGGAUAACGAUACUGAUUUGGCUUUCUCAUAGCAUUAGCUGUAAACCAUAAUAUGAACCCUGAUAAAAGAUCCAACAGGGAAUCUAGUGUUGAUGCUAUAACUGCUAGUGAUCUGCUCUCAACUGAAGCAUACACUUUUGCGAUGAAGAUCAACAUGUUGGCUAUGUUGGAUGCAUAUAUUGCCAUUCUCUCACUGUUGGCCUCUUGCUUCUUUUCUUCCUGGUAUAUUAGAAACUAGGUGAAUGUGUCUUAUCUGAGAGAAUAAGAAGGUGCGAGUUUAGAGAGAGAAAAAAGAGAAAUACCUCAGUUAAGGUUCCUGGCACGACGCCCAGUUCAUUGUAGGAGUCAACUUCAUUGAAUCCUUUGAGAAGACUUUCUUGCCUUUCAUAGUACUUAGCAACAUUUCUUUGUCUCUCUAGCAUCAAGAUAAAAACGCUCAUUAGUUUCACCUCCAAAACUCAAGUUUUUCUGUUGAAGGCACUGAAGAAAUGGUAAGAGAAUGCAUUUGAAAAGCUUACUCCAUGACUUCCAGUAAUAAACAAUGCCAUGAUGAGAUCUCUUGUUGGUUGCAGGCAAAUGGAACUCAUCCAUAUUAAGUCGCCACGAGGGCACCUUUGACACCAUUCCAUCUCUUCCAGCAGCCACACCCUCUGGGGACAAAAGUUCUGUUCUGAAUGAAUCUGUUCUGGGAUUAUCUGCCAUUUUUAUGCUGACGAACCCAACUGAGAAUCCGGUUAUAAGGAACCGAUUUUCUUUUACCUAAACCAGAAAGAUCAUUAUAAAGAGAAAGACGAUGGUGCAGUGUUGCUGACUAAGUUGGAUGGAGGAUUAAUAUAAUAUAGAAGAGUGGAUUCAGUUAACAAUGGCAUGGAAAGGGUUGGAUUAUUUUAGGAAAGGGAUGAUUUGACAUGCAUUCUGAAUUCUGAGUGUUGUAGAAAGUUAGAGGUUUGCUUUAAAUAAUUGAAAUACCUGGUUUUGGGAAUUGCUUUGUAGGACCUUACGUGUUUUCCUAUAAGUUUAACAUAAUCGUCGACGCUUUUCUCAA